GGACGUCCGUUCCUGCUCUGUGGAGGCGUUGCUUCGUUCCGGGCCUUGCGGCAACUCGGUUUUUCCUUCCCCUGCGCGGGAGACCUCUGCCACAACCAUGUUACGCCAGAUCAUCGGUCAGGCCAAGAAGCAUCCGAGCUUGAUCCCCCUCUUCAUAUUUAUUGGGGCAGGAGGUACUGGAGCAGCGCUGUAUGUAUUGCGCUUGGCAUUGUUCAAUCCAGAUGUUAGUUGGGAUAGGAAGAAUAACCCAGAACCUUGGAACAAACUGGGUCCCAAUGAUCAAUACAAGUUCUACUCAGUGAAUGUAGAUUACAGCAAACUGAAGAAAGAAGGUCCAGACUUCUAAAUGAAAUGUUUCACUAUAAAGCUGCUUAGAAUGAAGGUCUUCCAGAAGCCAUCCGCACAAUUUUCCACUUAUCCAGGAAAUAUUUCCCCUCUAAAUGCACGAAAUCAUGUUGGUGUAUUGUGUUGGGGUUUACACUGAAUAAUAAAUAUCUGAAACUUGAUAUGUGUCACUAUUUAAUGCUGAAAAUUUGCUCUGAACUUUAGAGUAUAGGAAAUAAACUUAGAAUUUAAGGAAUUUCUUGAAUUUCCAUCCAUUUGUGUAAUUUGAAGAUAAGACUUUAAGUUGCUCAAAACACUUCAUUUUUUGUAUGGGACAUUGGUAACUUCACUAGAGUAUAUUUAACAACUGGUACUGGAAAUUAUACUUGCAAAUGCAAAGAUCAUGAAGAGUACUCAAGUGUCUGGCAUUGGUAAAAUGGAAACCUUUGGAUUUCUCCAACUGAAUGAUGAAGUGUGUUUAGUUGUUAAUGAUUUUUACCAUGGCAUACCCCUGUGCUGAAGAUUUUCAAGUUUAUCAGGGAUUGUAUUUGGAUCUGAGUCCCAUCUAAUUCAUGGAGGUAGUAGCCAUUAUGCUUUUACUGUACUGAUUUAAUCACACAACACUGCUUUGUCAGUUUCUUAAUGAAGUCACCAAACAAAUCAUUUAAAUACUGAUGUCUUGGAUUAGCAUUUAUGUAUAUUUGAUAAAUUGCAGCUUUCAGAAUUUGCAUGUGCUUCCAGUAUGUACUUGGGGGGGAAAAAAGCCAAGCAAAAAUCACACUGAAUUUCACUUCUUUCAAGUUUAUUAAUUCACCCUGAUCAGGAUUUACCCUCACUAGUCCACUAAAAAGUGCUUUUGUUAAGGUCGUCUGUGACCUACCUCCAUGUUUCUAAAUUCAAAAGUCAAGGAUCAGUACUCAUUUUGACCUAACAGUUGACAUGACUCUUGAAACGUUUUCAUCUUGUAGUCUCUAGAAUAACAUACUUUCUUUUCCUUUUACAUCAUUGGCUUUUCUAAUCAGUUUCUUGGUGUACUUUGUGACCUUUUAUUUUUGUUUUGUUUUUGUUUUAUUUAUUUUUUUGUUUUUUGUUUUUUGUGACCUUUUAAUAUUGGAAUACUCCAAAGAAAAAACUUAGGACCUUUUCAUUAUCUGCAGUCUUCAUCCAGUCUCGUAUUUUCAAAUAUGAUGUGAAUAUCCUAGGUAAUUUUUGAGACCAAAUGUUUUCCCAUUUGUAUAUGUGUAUACACGGGUACACAUAUUAUGUAUGGAUAUGUCUAUAUUCACUCGUUCUAUGUGGAUGUCUAAUGGGCAUCUUAAAUUUAACAUGUCCAAUUUGUGAACCUCUCAGAUUCCACAUCUACAAUCUUCAGUUGCACUGUCUUCAAUCAUACCAGUUUAUAGGAACACCAUUCUCAUAAUUAAGGCCAAAAUUCUCAGUCUUCAUUAACUUUUUUUAAUACCUGGAUGUAUCAAUAAGUCAUGUAUCCUCUACCUCCAAAAUAUACCUAGAAUCUCCUUGUUUUCAACAUAUAAUUCCCCUAUCACCUUGGUCCUAAGCCAUUGUCAGCUAACCUUAAUUAAAAUACUCUAAUAUCCCUGUCUAUGGAUUGCAACACAGCGGCCUAAGUGAUCUUUAAUAUAUGUCAGAAUAUGACAAACCUUUCCUCAAAGCCUACCAAAGCCCACCAACAUCUUCCCAUUUUAGUCAAAAGCUAGAUAUUUCAACUUUCUCCCUCUACUUUCUAUUAUUUUCUACUGUGCUCACACACCACCAAGUGGAUUUCCUUGAUCUUCCACACCAAUGCAUAUUUCUGCCUCGGGGAUUUGAUCUUUGGUUUAGAAUUCUCUUCCCCAAAUAUUGGCAUGGUUUGCUCUCACUUUUUCUAGUCUUUCUCAUGUUGACCUUUUUAAUGAGGCCUUCCCUGUCCAAAAUUUUGCACCCUGCUUUACCAUCACUUUUAUUUUUUUAAAUUUUUAUUUAUUUAUGAUAGUCACACAGAGAGAGAGAGAGAGGCAGAGGGAGAAGCAGGCUCCAUGCGCCAGGAGCCCGACAUGGGAUUUGAUCCCGGGUCUCCAGGAUCGCGCCCUGAGCCACAGGCAGGCACCAAACCUCUGCGCCACCCAGGGAUCCCCCUUUACCAUCACUUUUAUUCUCAUUUAUUACUGUCCUAAUAUGUAAUUAGAUUUAUUUGUUUAAACUUCUCCCCUCACUAAAAUUUAAGCUCCAUGGACAAGUAUUUUUGUCUUUUGUAUCCAUAACACCUACAGUGGUACCUAGCACAUAGUUGGUGUUUAAUAAAUACUUGUUAAAUGGAUUUUUUUUUAAAAGGGGCCGGUUCAGUAAGCAUCUGGAACAAAGCAAAGUGAAUACGGAUGACUCUUAAGAGAGGCAGAGAAUCAGAAUUGGAGAUGGUGAAACGCCUUUUACAAAAGCACUCUGAGCUAUGCUUCCUCACUACCACCCCAGUUGAUUAUUUUUCCUCAAUUGAUAAUUUUUAAUAGGUUUUUAAACUAGAGCAUUUUUUCAACUAGGGCAUUAUGUUUGUUCUAAAAUAGUAUCCAGUUUGUUCUGGAGUUUGAAGGUUGUUUUGUUUCACACACUGCAAUCAAGAUGAAUCUGAAUGAAGAAAAUAAGUAUAGGCACAAAUAAAACCAGAUAUCAUUUUUUAUUAAAAAAAAUCCUUGAGUCCCCAAUACCAUAGUCAUUGCCAAAACUAUCCAUUUUCCUUUUUUGCUUUAUUGUUUCCAAUUCUAGAAGCAGUGCAUGCUCAACGCAGUUAAAAUAAUUCACAAAAAAUAUAUGUCUAAGACUUUUUGUGAUGUAGAGGAUAUGUUAGAUGCUAUUUUGUAAUUGCUUUUUCAAAAAUGUCCCAAUAUGGCAUUCAACAACCUCAGUAUUAUUUUAAGAGCUUAUUUAUUUGAUAGAGAACACAAGCAGGGGAAGCCUCAGGCAGAGGGAGAGGGAGAAGCAGGCUCCCUGCUGAGCAGAGAGUCCAAUGUGGGGCUCCAAACCAGGGCUCUGGGAUCAUGACCUGAGCUGAUGGCAGAUGCUUAACUGACUUAGCCACGCAGGUGCCCCAGGAACCUUGUUAAUUUUAACAAAUACCAGUUAGUGUUAAGCAAAACAGACCAUUUAUAUUAAUGAAUAUUGAAAUGCAAUAAAGAAAAAAUACAUAUUAUACGUAAAAAUUGUAUACACAUUUACUACAUUUUAACAUGUCCCAUUGUAUCAGUUUUCCCUUUCUUCUGGGAUGGUUGGUAGAAUUCAUUUUUGGAGGCACUCUCCACUUCUCUUGAUUAUGUAGGGUAAUGAAACUGAGGGUUAUAAGAGGGCAUCUUAUAACAGGAUCAAACUAAUAAUUGAAAACAUUAUUUAGCUAGGCACCACUAAGCUCCUUAUAUAUGUUAAUUUAUUAUGGGUACAACAUUGUAUGGCAGACUUAUUACUCCUCCCCCACCCCUUUUUGACAAGGCAUAAAAAUAUGCCCAAGGUCAAACAUGAUUAGGAAGUGGUGGAACCAGGAUUUUAAUCCAAGGACUUUGAUGUAAGAGUUCAUUCUCUGAUCUCUGUAGACUUGUCUCAUAGAGUUGCCUUUAGAAUUAAAUAAGAUAAUAUAUGUAAGAAACUGUAUUUCCUGGCAGGAUGAUCAUUACUUACAUUGUUAGCUAUUAUAACUAUAAACCCUGGAGUUUAUUUCUUCCUCUCAUUCCAUCAGAAAUGUUAAUGAGAAAUUUCUAAAAGGUAUAUUAUAUAAACCUUAAAGAAAAUUACUAUUUAGUAAAACUUCUCCAACUAUCAACAAUCUGAUCAACUGAUCCUUUAUUGUAAAUAUCAUUGAUUUUAAUAUGUGGACAAGGGCCACCUUUAUACCAGAGCUGUAAGACUUAAGAAGUGAUGUGAUUUAUGUUUCUCAAUAGGUUUGCUAAAGCAGUGCCUACCCACAUAGCAUGCCAUAAUAAUGUUCCACCUUCUCUGGUUUGCAUUAUGACUCAGUGAAUUAAAAUCUUAAUAUGCAGGUCAUUUCUUCUAGGUUGAAAAUGAUACUGAGUUAAUCUAUGCCUGAUCUUAAAGAAUUAUUUGAUACUGUAUCAAUGACAAAUAGCAUCUGGAAAA
rnacentral:lncRNA from 1 species